ACCUGGCUGGGUCAGUUGGUAGAGCAUGUGACUCCUGAUCUCAGGGUUGUAGGUUCAAGCCCCAUGUUAGGUA
rnacentral:tRNA from 1 species